UGGUCAGCUUAAAGAAAUUUAAGUAAAAAACAUUCGGUGAACUCGGGAAAAGCUAAGUUUAAAAAAUAUGCUAAUUCCGAACCAAGCUAAGUGAAGCUAAUAAAAGUAACUUAGAAGGUGUAGAGACUAAUGGUUGAGUUAUAGCAAACAAUAAUACCAACACGAGUGCCGAACAUCUUAGCAAGUAAAGUUGAAGAUGAAGAUAUAGUCCGAUACUCUUAGGAAACUAGGAG
rnacentral:ncRNA from 1 species